rnacentral:rRNA from 1 species
UACGGAGGGGGCUAGCGUUGUUCGGAAUUACUGGGCGUAAAGCGCACGUAGGCGGCUUUGCAAGUUAGAGGUGAAAGCCCGGGGCUCAACUCCGGAAUUGCCUUUAAAACUGCAUCGCUAGAAUUGUGGAGAGGUAAGUGGAAUUCCGAGUGUAGAGGUGAAAUUCGUAGAUAUUCGGAAGAACACCAGUGGCGAAGGCGACUUACUGGACACAUAUUGACGCUGAGGUGCGAAAGCGUGGGGGAGCAAACAGG